UACGUAGGUGGCAAGCGUUGUCCGGAAUUAUUGGGCGUAAAGCGCGCGCAGGUGGUUUCUUAAGUCUGAUGUGAAAGCCCACGGCUCAACCGUGGAGGGUCAUUGGAAACUGGGGAACUUGAGUGCAGGAGAGAAGAGUGGAAUUCCACGUGUAGCGGUGAAAUGCGUAGAGAUGUGGAGGAACACCAGUGGCGAAGGCGGCUACCUGGCCCAAUACUGACACUCAGGUGCGACAGCGUGGGGAGCAAACAGG
rnacentral:rRNA from 1 species